AAUUUUGUUGAUUUGAGGAUCAUGCACUACCCAUGUCCAUCAAUAUUAUUUUGGUACAGUGUUCAUGCUCUUUGAAUUUUUUUCAGGGAUGAAAUUCGUUCAAAGAUGAAGAACAAGUACCUUUCUAACCCAGACUACAACUACGAGAAGGUGAACAGAGCCAGCUUGGCCUGUGGUCCUAUGGUUAAAUGGGCCAUUGCACAGGUGUGUAAGAAGGAGGUUUAAAAUAAUUCAGUAUGAGAUGAUGGAGAAAUAUUUAUAUUUCAUGAGAAUAAGAUGCUUGUAAAAUACAUAAGUUG
rnacentral:misc_RNA from 1 species